rnacentral:rRNA from 1 species
AUUGGAGGCAGCGGUGGGGGAGAUUGUAAAAUGGAGGAAACUCUGAUGCAGCAACGCCGCGUGAGGGAAGAAGGUCUUCGGAUUGUAAACCUAAGUUGUCAGGGACGAAAGAAAUGACGGUACCUGAAGAGAAAGCUCCGGCUAACUACGUGCCAGCAGCCGCGGUAAUACGUAGGGAGCGAGCGUUGUCCGGAUUUACUGGGUGUAAAGGGUGCGUAGGCGGGCCUGCAAGUCAGGCGUGAAAUCCCGUGGCUCAACUGCGGGGCUGCGCUUGAAACUGUGGGUCUUGAGUGAAGUAGAGGCAAGCGGAAUUCCUAGUGUAGCGGUGAAAUGCGUAGAUAUUAGGAGGAACACCAGUGGCGAAGGCGGCUUGCUGGGCUUUAACUGACGCUGAGGCACGAAAGCAUGGGGAGCAAACAGGAUUAGAUACCCUGGUA